rnacentral:rRNA from 1 species
GACGAACGCUGGCGGCGUGCUUAACACAUGCAAGUCGAACGGAAAGGCCCUGCUUUUGUGGGGUGCUCGAGUGGCGAACGGGUGAGUAACACGUGAGUAACCUGCCCUUGACUUUGGGAUAACUUCAGGAAACUGGGGCUAAUACCGGAUAGGAGCUCCUGCUGCAUGGUGGGGGUUGGAAAGUUUCGGCGGUUGGGGAUGGACUCGCGGCUUAUCAGCUUGUUGGUGGGGUAGUGGCUUACCAAGGCUUUGACGGGUAGCCGGCCUGAGAGGGUGACCGGCCACAUUGGGACUGAGAUACGGCCCAGACUCCUACGGGAGGCAGCAGUGGGGAAUAUUGCACAAUGGGCGGAAGCCUGAUGCAGCAACGCCGCGUGCGGGAUGACGGCCUUCGGGUUGUAAACCGCUUUCACCUGUGACGAAGCGUGAGUGACGGUAAUGGGUAAGAAGCACCGGCUAACUACGUGCCAGCAGCCGCGGUGAUACGUAGGGUGCGAGCGUUGUCCGGAUUUAUUGGGCGUAAAGGGCUCGUAGGUGGUUGAUCGCGUCGGAAGUGUAAUCUUGGGGCUUAACCCUGAGCGUGCUUUCGAUACGGGUUGACUUGAGGAAGGUAGGGGAGAAUGGAAUUCCUGGUGGAGCGGUGGAAUGCGCAGAUAUCAGGAGGAACACCAGUGGCGAAGGCGGUUCUCUGGGCCUUUCCUGACGCUGAGGAGCGAAAGCGUGGGGAGCGAACAGGCUUAGAUACCCUGGUAGUCCACGCUGUAAACGGUGGGUACUAGGUGUGGGGUCCAUUCCACGGGUUCCGUGCCGUAGCUAACGCUUUAAGUACCCCGCCUGGGGAGUACGGCCGCAAGGCUAAAACUCAAAGGAAUUGACGGGGCCCCGCACAAGCGGCGGAGCAUGCGGAUUAAUUCGAUGAAACGCGUAGAACCUUACCUGGGUUUGACAUGGAUCGGGAGUGCUCAGAGAUGGGUGUGCCUCUUUUGGGGUCGGUUCACAGGUGGUGCAUGGCUGUCGUCAGCUCGUGUCGUGAGAUGUUGGGUUAAGUCCCGCAACGAGCGCAACCCUUGUUCACUGUUGCCAGCACGUUAUGGUGGGGACUCAGUGGAGACCGCCGGGGUCAACUCGGAGGAAGGUGGGGAUGACGUCAAGUCAUCAUGCCCCUUAUGUCCAGGGCUUCACGCAUGCUACAAUGGCUGGUACAGAGAGUGGCGAGCCUGUGAGGGUGAGCAAAUCUCGGAAAGCCGGUCUCAGUUCGGAUUGGGGUCUGCAACUCGACCUCAUGAAGUCGGAGUCGCUAGUAAUCGCAGAUCAGCAACGCUGCGGUGAAUACGUUCCCGGGGCU